rnacentral:rRNA from 1 species
GAUUGAACGCUGGCGGCAGGCCUACCACAUGCAAGUCGAGCGGAUGAAGGGAGCUUGCUCCUGGAUUCAGCGGCGGACGGGUGAGUAAUGCCUAGGAAUCUGCCUGGUAGUGGGGGAUAACGUCCGGAAACGGGCGCUAAUACCGCAUACGUCCUGAGGGAGAAAGUGGGGGAUCUUCGGACCUCACGCUAUCAGAUGAGCCUAGGUCGGAUUAGCUAGUUGGUGGGGUAAAGGCCUACCAAGGCGACGAUCCGUAACUGGUCUGAGAGGAUGAUCAGUCACACUGGAACUGAGACACGGUCCAGACUCCUACGGGAGGCAGCAGUGGGGAAUAUUGGACAAUGGGCGAAAGCCUGAUCCAGCCAUGCCGCGGGGGUGAAGAAGGUCUUCGGAUUGUAAAGCACUUUAAGUUGGGAGGAAGGGCAGUAAGUUAAUACCUUGCUGUUUUGACGUUACCAACAGAAUAAGCACCGGCUAACUUCGUGC